AUUUCUAACAGUGCCUGAGAAAGCAAGCGCUGAGCUAUUAACGUAAUGAGCUUGGAUUCAAAAUUAAAAAGGGGGAGCCACAAAGCAGCACAGGCCGGCCACGAAGGGACGAUGGCCUGAGUCCAUAAGGAUGUGAAUGCCAUUACUCAUUAACACACACUCCACUUAAGGAAAUCCUUAGGAAAAGCAACUGAGUCGAGCUAAUGAGUCGCCUCUUCCUCCGAUACUGGUUUUCAUUGUCUACAGAGGGUUUCCCAACCUCCACUAUCUGCUCACUGGACUUGAUGGUAUAUCAACUUAUAGAGGGAAAUAUUCGCACCCGGAUGGUGUGCUAGGUCCUUUAUUUAUUCAUCAAAAAAGAGAGAGAGAAAGAAAGGAGAGGAGGGAAGAAAGAAAGAUGGAUUUGCUCACAAGGCUAUAAUCUAAGGACAAGUAUUGAUUGCUGAAACACUAAAGGAAUAUCUAAAGCCAGGACAAUAUCUUUCAAGGUCAAGCUAGCGCAUGUGUUGUAACACUGUGGACUCCACACAGUAAGGCGCCACUAUUCAAUUUCAAAAGGCUCAUGGCAAAGUCAUGUUUGGUUCUGCCCUGGAUAUCCAGUUUCCUGUUCUUGGCCAGCCAGGCAGCAUCAGGACAGGAUGAGGAUGACCGUUGAAGAACCCAGCUGUCGGGGACAAUUGCUUUAAAGUCUUUGUAAUGUUACCCCAAGGAAGCCCAAGAGAUGAGCAAGAAGAUUGAUCACAGAACACUGAACAGAACUAAGCAGACCACAGCCAAAUGGAUAAUGUUUCACAAAGAACUUGUAAUCUCUGAAUGCAGGGCUUCGUUUCAACCACAUGCAUUCCAUAACGGCUAUAAAUUCCAUUAGCACUAAAUAUCCACUGAGCUCUAAGCCAAGGAGAGGAACAAAAUAUCAAAACAGCCUUGUGUGUUUCAACUAUUAUUUAGAGAGUGGUUCCUCCAUGCCAGGCACUAGAGUAGGUGAUUAGAGGACUCAGUGAAUAAGAACACAGUUCCUGCAGCCUGCAUGUGCUUUGAGAAGUGGCAAUCUUAGACCUUGAAAUAAAUAAUUUCAGUGUAUAGACAGUACAAUGGAUAAUACACACAAGUGCAUAUGGAAGUGGAAUGUAUGGAAGUGGCUGGGUUCAAAUUCUAACCCUACUGUGCACUAACAUAACUCAGUUUCCUCACCUCUAAGCUGUUAAUCAUUGUACCUGGCUUACAGGAACCGCUGUCUGGAUUAGAUGAGAAAAUGUACUGAAAUCGUUUUAAAAGCAAUUUUGAUAUAAAGUACUCGACAAUU